rnacentral:rRNA from 1 species
UAGGGAAUCUUCGGCAAUGGGGGGAACCCUGACCGAGCAACGCCGCGUGAGUGAAGAAGGUUUUCGGAUCGUAAAGCUCUGUUGUUAAGGAAGAACGAGUGUGAGAAUGGAAAGUUCAUGCUGUGACGGUACUUAACCAGAAAGAGACGGCUAACUACGUGCCAGCAGCCGCGGUAAUACGUAGGUCCCGAGCGUUGUCCGGAAUUAUUGGGCGUAAAGCGCGCGUAGGCGGUUUUUUAAGUCUGAUGUGAAAGCCCACGGCUCAACCGUGGAGGGUCAUUGGAAACUGGAAAACUUGAGUGCAGAAGAGGAAAGUGGAAUUCCAUGUGUAGCGGUGAAAUGCGCAGAGAUAUGGAGGAACACCAGUGGCGAAGGCGACUUUCUGGUCUGUAACUGACGCUGAUGUGCGAAAGCGUGGGGAUCAAACAGG